AAAUUGAAGAGUUUGAUCAUGGCUCAGAUUGAACGCUGGCGGCAGGCCUAACACAUGCAAGUCGAACGGUAACAGGAAACAGCUUGCUGUUUUGCUGACGAGUGGCGGACGGGUGAGUAAUGUCUGGGAAACUGCCUGAUGGAGGGGGAUAACUACUGGAAACGGUAGCUAAUACCGCAUAACGUCGCAAGACCAAAGAGGGGGACCUUCGGGCCUCUUGCCAUCGGAUGUGCCCAGAUGGGAUUAGCUAGUAGGUGGGGUAACGGCUCACCUAGGCGACGAUCCCUAGCUGGUCUGAGAGGAUGACCAGCCACACUGGAACUGAGACACGGUCCAGACUCCUACGGGAGGCAGCAGUGGGGAAUAUUGCACAAUGGGCGCAAG
rnacentral:rRNA from 1 species